UUGUUUUCUUAAACAAAUUUUUUUAGAAUUUUAUUUUUAAGUUAAAAAAGCUUAAAUUUAAUCAGGGACGAGAAGACCCUAUAGAGUUUAAUAAAUUUUAUAUAUAAUAAAAUUUAGAAUUUAAUAAUUAUGUAAUAAUUUAUUUAGUUGGGGUGACUAAGUAAUAUAAUUAACUUAUUUUUUUUUAUAUCAAUAAUUAUUGUUUUUUUGAUCCAUAAAUAUGAUUAUAAGAUAAAAUUACCUUAGGGAUAACAGCGUUAUUUUUUUUAGAGUUCUUAUCAAAAAAAAAGAUUGCGACCUCGAUGUUGGAUUAGGAUAAAUGUUAGGUGUAGUCGCUUAAUAAUUAAGUCUGUUCGACUUUUAAAAUCCUACA
rnacentral:rRNA from 1 species